UACGUAGGGCGCUAGCGUUGUUCGGAAUCACUGGGCGUAAAGCGCACGCAGGCGGAUCGAUCAGUCGGGGGUGAAAGCCCGGGGCUCAACCUCGGAAUUGCCUUCGAUACGGUCGGUCUCGAGUGCGGGAGAGGUGAGUGGAAUUCCUAGUGUAGAGGUGAAAUUCGUAGAUAUUAGGAAGAACACCAGUGGCGAAGGCGGCUCUCUGGGCCGGUACUGACGCUCAGGUGCGAAAGCGUGGGGAGCAAACAGG
rnacentral:rRNA from 1 species